rnacentral:misc_RNA from 1 species
CACCUAUAAAUGGAGCCGAUGCUGCUAGCUCUCCUCUCUCGCUCUCUGCUCUGCCAGCGUCAUUUGCCAUCGCCGCCACGCUACAUCGCCGGAGCUCCGUCCGUCGAUGCCGAGCUCCCCUACAUUCGAGCUGCAUGUAUCGACGUUGGAGCUUUGGUUUCUGCUCGCCAUCGUUCGUGCUCACUUGAUGCUUGCUUGAAGUCGUGUCGACGUCUGCUGCUGCGCAUCAUCAUCGCCAGACCACAACCACCUACGCCGUUGUCCUACUGCUACCUUGCCGGAGAACCUCAACAGCAUUGUGCCUUCGUCGCUCGUCGUCCCUGUUGUUGCUGGAGACCUGCCCCUCGACGCCAACAAUCACGUUUGAUUCCUCGGCGACUGUCGAGUCCCUGCUGCAGCCUCGUCGUCGUUUGCCGAAGCCAUCUAGUGGUUGAUCUAGUAGUUGAGAAUCAAGAUAUUUCGUGGAAGAAUCUCAAGUUUUCAAUAAGCAAGGAUGACGAAGCUGAAGUUUGACGAAGCUGAAGUAUGACGGCCUGAAGCUUAAUAGUUGCUAUAAUAGACUUUCCUGCAAAAAAUUCUAGAGAGAUCUUUGUAAUAUAUUUAUAGAAAAAAACUUAUGUAAAUUUGUACAUACCUUGUAAUAUAUCUUGUCUCCUUUAUCCGUGUACAAUCUGCUUUGCUGUGAACG